rnacentral:rRNA from 1 species
GACGAACGCUGGCGGCGUGCCUAAUACAUGCAAGUCGAGCGCAGGAAGCUGACGGAACUCUUCGGAGGGAAGGCAGCGGAAUGAGCGGCGGACGGGUGAGUAACACGUAAGGAACCUGCCUCAAGGAUUGGGAUAACUCCGAGAAAUCGGAGCUAAUACCGGAUAGUUCAACGGACCGCAUGGUCCGCUGAUGAAAGGCGCUCCGGCGUCACCUUGAGAUGGCCUUGCGGUGCAUUAGCUAGUUGGUGGGGUAACGGCCCACCAAGGCGACGAAGCAUAGCCGACCUGAGAGGGUGAUCGGCCACACUGGGACUGAGACACGGCCCAGACUCCUACGGGAGGCAGCAGUAGGGAAUCUUCCACAAUGGACGAAAGUCUGAUGGAGCAACGCCGCGUGAGUGAUGAAGGUUUUCGGAUCGUAAAACUCUGUUGUAAGGGAAGAACACGUACGAGAGGAAAUGCUCGUACCUUGACGGUACCUUACGAGAAAGCCACGGCUAACUACGUGCCAGCCGCCGCAGUAA